UACGUAGGGGGCGAGCGUUGUCCGGAUUUAUUGGGCGUAAAGAGCGUGUAGGCGGCCAGGUAGGUCUGCUGUGAAAACUCGAGGCUCAACCUCGAGACGUCGGCGGAAACCAUCUGGCUAGAGUCCGGAAGAGGAGAGUGGAAUUCCUGGUGUAGCGGUGAAAUGCGCAGAUAUCAGGAAGAACACCCGUGGCGAAGGCGGCCCCCUGGUUGGAUACUGACGCUGAUACGCGAAAGCGUGGGGAGCAAACAGG
rnacentral:rRNA from 1 species